rnacentral:misc_RNA from 1 species
CAGAGUUGCAAAACUCCCACAAACCAUCGCGAAUCGUUACCCAGUACGUUGCCUCGUCGCUGCGGUCCGGAGGCCUCGGCCCCGAUCCUCGGGUCCCUCGCGGGACGCUCCCCGAGUGCCGACUACUCUUGCAGUAUCUUAGGUCCUCUCUGAGUAUGACUUUUUAAAUAAGUCA